CCGGGCCAUGGCCUGCCUCGAGUCUUCCCGCGCCGUGGGUGCGAGACCGACCCGGUCGUUUCGGAGGGCGCGGGGCGGUGGCCCCGGGAACUCGUCCCUGUUGACUCGUUAACGGGCUUUCCCUCCCUUUGGGUGCCAAAGCGACCUGCGCACCAUCAGUGCAGUCGCGUUUUGAGUUUCCACCUGCAAGUCUUAGGUAAUCUUUCUCCAUGAUAAACGCCGGUUUCGAUGGUCCUCGCCGCAAACUAAUCGGGGGCCUUCUGUGACUCAGAUGCAACAAAGCCUGAGUUUUGAAGAUGUAUAAAGGUCACCGUGAUAAAUGUUUUCUGAAGAUUUGUCAAAGAGAAUGGCCAUGAAAAAACUGCUAGGACCAUAACUGCAUGUUUCAAGUAGAAGCAAAAGUUACAUCAUAUAGGUAGCUGUGGAUGAAUGUUCAGGUCCUUAACCAUGGUAUUUAAGAAUUCUUCAUUGCCUCAAGUUAAACAAGCAACCAAGUGUGACAUAUAACAUUUUGGGAAGGAAAAAUGAAGACUUGGUCAUGAAGACAUGAAUAGAAGCAAGUGAAGAAAAUAUUUGACAUUGAUAACCUUAUUUCACAAUAAUAUAUAGAAAAUACGUGUUUGGAUGCUUCAUAUCUUAUUUGCUUGGCAAUAAAGUUUUUUUAAAAAAUAUAUCUCAGGUCUUUAAACAGCUCCAUUCUCAUAGUCAUUAGUCAGACUUGUUUAUAAUGUACUUUGAGGAUAUAAUGUUUUUGUCAGUAACAAGCUCCUUUGUAGGUGGUGAUUCUCUGGAGAGGUCCUAACCACUCCAUACUACGUAACUAAAAAAUCUUUAUCUGGCCUCCCCGUAAAAACCUGCUGUCAUACCUGAAAGACAGCUCAUUGAAAUAUUCUAACCCUAUUAAUUUUGAAUAGCAGUGGAAUUGCCCAUUAGUAAAGAUUUUUCCUUUUGUAACCUAUGCACUAAGAACAGAAUUGUAAUAUGUAAAAAAAAAAAUUGUUUUUAAAAAUGAGCUUUGCCUUCUGAAAACUCAGUAGCUGUAUAGUCCCUGACACUAUUAGGUAUUCAGUAAAUACAUGUUGAAUGAAUGACUAGGAAAUAAAAUAGUAAAUUACUUGUCGAUCUUAUAGAGAGUGAGUGGGAGAACUGCCCAGCUUAGGAUUAAGCUCUGCAAAGUGUCAGUUUCAAAACAAUUGAAGCACGGUAAUAUCUUGUUAAUAAAAUUGCAGUUUUGUAAUUAUACUUUGCUUUUGAAUAAGAAUAUUAAAGAUUUAAAGAAGUGAAAACCAAAAACAA